CACUAGUGUAUAUUAAAGCUGUUGUGGUUGAAAAGUUCGUAGUUGGUUUUCUGUUGAGGACAACCAGUCUGCCCAUUGGGUCUGUAUUUGGUUUGUUCUAUGCAUCUCCUUGGGGAAGUUUGCUGUGCUUGACUGUGCGGUGUCUUUUCCAGGCCAAUAACUUUGAGGAAAUUGGAGUGUCCCAAGUAAGCUUUGCUGUUGAACACACGUGCAUGGAAUGGAGUGAGGUGAAAUUCUUGAAUUUGUCAAAGGCAAGCGCUUGCGAAAGCAUUUGUCCAGAAUGCCUGUGUUGA
rnacentral:rRNA from 1 species